rnacentral:lncRNA from 1 species
AAUCAUCCGCAAGAGUGAUUUUGAUGUGGUAGAACAGUUGGGGCAUACUCCGUCUAAAAUUUCGAUGUUAUCCUUGUUGUUAUCUUCUGAAUCUCAUUCCAAUGCAUUGAUAAAAUUCUUGAAGACCGCUCAUGUACCUCAGGAGACAUCUGUCGAUCAGUUCGAAAAUUAUGUUGCUAACUUGGCUGUUGACAAUGGCCUAG